UUUUUUAACAGACGUUAGUAGAUAGCUACUUGUAAUCAAUGUAUAUUUUCUAACUCAAUGGUCUAAGCAAAUUCAACUAUUUAUUAUCAGGCUUAAUUUAACUAAAUUAUUAAAUCGUACGCACAACUAGUGAGAGUCUAAGUGCGGAAACUGAGUCCACCAACAUUUUUACUCUGUCUUUAAUCGUUAGCAUCGAAAAAGCCAUUGAAAUUUAAAAAAAAAUUUUUACUUCUAUUAUGUCGCUAUUUACAGCCCUGAAUUCUCCACAACGAGAAACUGCUGAAAAAGUAUACUCCAAAGCACCACCCUCUCCAGAACUUACCAUUGAAUAUGUUCGGUUGAGGAAUGAUGACGAUGUAUUGACAGAUCCUGAAACACUAGAAAAUCAUAUCAAGGCACUCAGAGCGGAAAGUGAGGCGAAAAAAAAGCAAAGUCGUGUAGAUGACGACAUAUCUACUGACGAAUUGGAAGAAAAUGAUGCAACCGACCCAGCCAACAGGACCACAGACAAUUCUUCUCCAAAAACCAGACCAGCAACCAGAUAAACAAACCAUUCUAGUACAGCAACCCGGGCAGCAAUUACAGUCAAACCAGCCAGGGAUAAUGGUUCAACAACCUAUUCAGUCAAUGUCGAAUAGCAAUCAAGGCAAUGUAAUCACGCUUGUACCCAAUCAAAGUAGUGGCCAAAUAUUAAUUCCAAUUCAACAAGGAAAAUAGUAUGUCUAAAUUAAUUGUUUGAAUAAUAAAAGACUAAUUCGUAAA